CCUACGGGCGGCAGCAGUGGGGAAUAUUGCACAAUGGGCGCAAGCCUGAUGCAGCGACGCCGCGUGGGGGAUGACGGCCUUCGGGUUGUAAACUCCUUUCGUUAGGGACGAAGCCACACCUUUUUUUGGGUGUGUUGACGGUACCUUUGUUAAGAAGCACCGGCUAACUACGUGCCAGCAGCCGCGGUAAUACGUAGGGGGCGGGCGUUGUCCGGAAUUACUGGGCGUAAAGAGCUCGUAGGGGGUUUGUUGCGUCGUCUGGGAAAUUCCGGGGCUUAACUUCGGGGUGGCAGGCGAUACUGGCAGAACUAGAGUGCUGUAGGGGAGACUGGAAUUCCUGGUGUAGCGGUGGAAUGCGCAGAUAUCAGGAGGAACACCGAUGGCGAAGGCAGGUCUCUGGGCAGUAACUGACGCUGAGGAGCGAAAGCAUGGGGAGCGAACAGGAUUAGAUACCCCAGUAGUC
rnacentral:rRNA from 1 species